rnacentral:lncRNA from 1 species
GUGACAGAGAAGAUAAGUAAGAGGAAAUGAAUUGACCUGAACGGAAGAGUUCAUGGCAUAGCUAGUUUCUCCUGCGCCUUUGUUCAUGUGAAAGAGUUCCAAGGUUUCCAUUUUUUUCCUUGUGGCUGUUUGCAUGGUAAGUGAGUUGAAGUUGAAGGUGCGACGAAAAGGAAAAAAAUGGCUCCUUGAAUGAGGGAGAAGGAAGAGGUAUAUGUGUAUAAAUAAUGGAAAAACUUCUUUAACAACAUUUUUUAACAAUUUUUUCUAAUGCAUAUCUAUUAAUGUGGAUUGGUCCAUUUUAAAUAUUUUUUAAAUAUAAAUUCAAAUAAAAUAAUAAUAAGUAUUCCGUUGUAAAAAAAAAGUGUUGUGAAAAUAUCAUUAUAUAAAAAAGUCAUGGAAACUUGACCAAGAAAAGAAUAACAACCACAUAAAUAGAUAAAGAUGACAACAAUUUCUGCUUAUACCAGAAUAUCACACUCCAAUAAUGUUUUUUUCUACAUCAUUUUCUAUUUUCUUAUAUUUCUUUCAUAUCAUCCAUUCAAAUAUAUUGUAUUUAUAUUUUACCUAACUCCUCUACAUUUCUGCUUAAUAUUGAUAUUUUGGUUGGUUUUUAGGUCUCAUGAUAAAAAUAAGACAAAAUUAAACAGUAUAUUAUAUAUAAAAAAAUUAACAUAUCAUGAUCUAAUACUUAUACUCAUAUCAUAUUGGAAAAUGAUAUUUUAACACUAUUUUGAUACUGCACACGUGUUAAAAUGUGGUUGGAUGAUUUUAAAUUAAAAAUAAAACUUUGGUUUUUCUUUUCCAAAUAUACUCCUAUCCCAGUUUUUUUUAAUUUGAAACCGUUCAACCAUAUUUUGACACGUGUGCAGUGUCAAAAUGAUGUCAAAAAUUGGUGUUAAAAUAUCAUUUUCCUAUCAUAUUAUAUAAUUUUUUUGGAAAAUGACAUUUUAACACUAACUUUUUGACAUCAUUUUGACACUACACACGUGUCAAAAUGUAGUUAGACGAUUUCAAAUUAAAAAAGAAAUUUUGGUUUUUCUCUUCUAAAUAUGCUUUUACGUCAGUUUUUUUUAAUUUGAAAUCGUCCAACCACGUUUUGACAUGUGUGUAGUGUCAAAAUGGUAUCAAAAAUUGGUGUUAAAAUAUCAUUUUGCAUAAUUUUUUUUUUAAUUAACAAAUCUCUCGAAAGAAAAAAAAAAAAAGAAAACCCUGCACACAUAUUUUUGUAAAUAUUAGAUGGAGCAGAUGGUUUAUGACUAACUGACACAAAAAAUCUUGCACAACAAAUUUUGUCAAAUAAAAAACUUUUGCUCAUCGAUUACGCAAACCUGUAGUUACGUGUUUCACCGGAAAACUUUUUCGGAAUCGGAUCUUGAAAUUCUCACAUAUUUUUAAUAAAUUUUGACAGUUGAACAUAUGUUAUUAUUUUAUUGGAUAAUGAUAUUUAGACAACAUUUUUUUGACACAUUGAUUACGUGUCAAUAUGUGAUUGGUAGUAAAUUACUCCAUAAUAGUGUUUACGAUUAUUAUUAUUGAUUAUGGAGUAAUUUACUACCAAUCACAGAUUGACACGAAAUCAAUGUUCAAAUGUUGUCAAAAAAACAUUGUCUAAAUAUCAUUAUCCUAUUUUAUUUAUUUGAUUAAAUUUUUGUUUAAAAAAAUAUCUAAAACAGACCCAUACUAAUAUGAUAAAUUAUCAUAUAAACGUUAUAAAAAAUAAUUGUUAAAUCAAUUUUUUUUAAAACUAAAUCACAUUAAAUCGCGAUAAUUUUAAAAAUAUCAUCCCGUCAUCUUUUACUUCGAUUUUUAAUAAAUUUAGUUUUGUUCUUUUACUAGUGUCUUUUUUUUUUCCUCUCGUUUUUUAUCUCUCCUUACAUACGAUUUAAUCAUUAAUUUCUUUCCAUCCAUAGACUAAUUUUGCUUACAGCACCAUGAUUAUUGUUAUUUUUUAAGUUUUGGAAUGACGUAAUAAAUCCUACAUUUAUAUGCAUCAUUUUAAAAAUAAUAUUUAAUAUUUAAUAAAUGAAGGGACCCCCACCUUGACUAUCGUUCCAUGUUUGCAACUGUCCACAUUCUAGUAUUGAUUAUUGACUUGUUGUACUGAUAGGUAUUUUUAAUUUAAUUUAUAUUUUGUUGUUUAUUUUCAACAUUUUCACAACUUUUCUUUCAAUUUUUUCUGUUAUUUUUCAUCACAUUAUUUAUUUUAAUUUUAUAUAGCCAUCACGUAAAUCUAACAAUUCUACACUAAAAAACAUUUUACAGUUAAGCUUAUAUUGUUUAAUUUAAGUUUCAUUGAAUAUUAUUAGCAAACAUAACUAUUUUACUUAUAUAUUUUGGAUACAAUAGUAAAUUUCAUUUUAUUUAUUUUAGCGACUUACUAUUAUUACUGACUCUAGCUUUAAUUUUAAAUUAAAAAACAAUUUACACAAUAAUUUAUUAAAACUUUGACAAAUGAUGUUAAAAAUUAAUUUUAAUUCAAAAAUUAAUUAUAAUUUUUUAGUUAUAAUAGAAGCUACUUUUUAUACUAAUAAUUUUUAGUUUAUAAGAUGAUAAUUAAUUAUAUCUAAAAUUGAUUAUUAUUUCAUAAAUUUAUCGUAAUUUUUAUAAUAUUUAUGGUUCAGAUUUACUAAUUUUAAUUAAGAAUACACAUUCUAACAUUUCAAACUUUAUAUUUGUUUAAAACGUAAGAAAAUUGAUAAAAAAAUAGUUUAUCCUUUAAAAUCAAAACUAUCCGAUUGAGAAAACUCAAUCACUUAUCUUCUUCGCGAUAAAUGAAUUUUCAAAGACAACCUUUUUACUGUUGAGUAAAAUGUAAAAUCCACUUUUAACUUAAAAGAAAUAUUUUUAAAUAAUAAUAUAAAUUAAAAUUUUAACAUUUUUUUUUACAUUUUAAAACUAUUUCUUCUAAACUAAAAAAAAUAGAUUUAUUACCUUGUAACAAAUAAUACAUUAUUACGCUUUAUUAGAUAAAAGAAUAAAAAAAAUCAUUUUUCUAAAGUUAUAUUAAUUUCUCGCUUUUCUAUUCGAUCAAAUUACUAAUGAAAAAUAUUAUAUAAUUUAAUAUCCGUGAGAACUUGAUCUUUCAUUUCCAUCAAGAAUAAGAAAUAAAUAAAAGUAUAAAUUCAUGUUUUUGCUUUAUUUAUCUGUGAGAUUGUAUAAUUUAAAAAUUAUCCUAUAUUUUAUUUAGCUUAUUUUUUUAUUAUUAUUUAUCUACUCCUAUAUAAAAAAUUAGGAUCUGCAAUUCUCAUCUAUCUAAGUCACUCUUUUCAUUAAAUAUUCUCCAUUUAUUUUUCAGAUAAAACAACGUAUUAACAUAUACAAAAAUAUUAUUUUUGACAUAUAAUUUUUACAUUCAUUUGAUUUUUUUUUAAAAAGAAUAUAAAAGUUCAUUUCAUUCUUAUAUUAUGUAUUAAACGAAUGUAAAAAUAUUUUAUCUUAACAUUAUUUUAAUAUAUAAUUGUGAUAAAAGAGUGUAAAACAAAUAAAUUUUGAAUGGAGCGUGUGUUUCACGUCUCAACAUGGAAAUAAUAGAAUUUGAAAAGGAUAUCAGGUUUUUGGCAAUUAAAAACACAAAAAACAAAAGGAAAACGUGACAUUCUCUAAUAUAAAUUGAAACGAGAAAGAACAAAAGUGCAACAGUGAAAUAUCAUGCUUUCCAUUUAAACACUAGAAAAGAGUGGUCAUCCCCAAAAGACAGUAUAAAAAGUCCACUCCAUUCAUUAUUCUAUGACUUAGUGCUUUUGGUACAUGUUCAUGUUCUUAUUCAUAUUCACUAUUGCUAUGUUGUGUGGUCUUUCAUGUUUAUUCGACCAUAAUACAAUCUCUUAUGACUUUUUAUAUCUCAUUAAUCAAUUUCUUAUUCUUCUAAAUCUCUUCAUGUACCUCAUUUUUUUCAUAUUAUAAACUCAUUUAUUCAUCCAUGUCUCUUCUUCAAUUUCUUUCACAUAUCCAUCUUUUAUAUGGUUAGAUUUAUCUAGAAAAAAUUCAUUAAAGACCUAAAUAUCAAUAAAAUCUAAAUCUUACUAUCUUUCAUCUUUAUAUAAUAUUUUAUUUUUUUAUUUCUAUCUAUCUAUAGUGAGAUUUAAACUCACACUUAAAUUUUCAAUACAUAUAUGUCUUCUUAUCAAAUUUAAACAUAUUUUCCGAUUUAUAAAAUAUCUCAUAUGACACUAAUUUAUAGUUCUUUUUUGGUUUGAUACCGUUUUUGGUCCCUAGUUUGGGAGGGUUUGUUCAAUAUGGUCCUACUUUUUUUUUUUUCAUAAUAAUUGAUCCCACCUCUUGAAAAAACUGUUGUCCUUUUUGUUCAUAGUGGUCCCAUAUUCAAGUUUAAAUUGUUUAUUAUAGUCCUUGUAUACGAUGAUGACAUGAUUUUUAACAUAACAUUAUGUCAGGACUGUUAAAAUAACAUUUGGAUAGGUGAAUACAUGAAAGAACUUAUUGACGUCGUAACCAAAACCGUUAGAAAAUUGACGUCGUAAAAAAAACGGAGUCAAUUGAACAGUUUUUUCAAAAAGUGGGAUCAAUUGUUACUAAAAACAAAAGGUAGGACCAUAUUGAACAAAACCUCCCAAACUAGGGACCAAAAGCGGUAUUAAGCCUUCUUAUUUUCAUUUUAACACGAUUUAAGAAAUUUAAUUUUAAUUUGAGUACGUUUUACAUGAGACUACGUCUCUUCUCUGUUUGUGUUCGUUGUAGGAAAAUAAAAGUUACUCUUUGUAAACCACUUUUACAAAUAAACAAUUUAAAUAUAUAUAUAUAUAUAUAUAUAUAUAUAUAUAUAUAUAUAUAUAUAUAUAUAUAUAUAUAUAUAUAUAUAUAUUCUUAAUUUUCUAAUAGGUUUUUUAAAAACAAAAUAAUAUAACACUAAACUUUAAAUUAAACAGUACUUUAGACGUGAUAAUUGACAAUAAAAAUAUUAUUUAAUUAAUCUUGAGGACAGAACAAUAUCAUAUGUUAUAUUAUUUUAAAAGUAAAAAAUCACUUGAUAAAUAAAUAUAUAAAUUUAUAAAAGUUAAAUAUAUUUCUAAUUUCUAAACUUAUAGACAUAAAAAUGGAGUUAAUUUAUUUUUCAAACUUUAAUAUUUUUUUAUAUCAAAUUUUAAAAAAAAAAUGUAUAUAACCACUUUAACUUAACAACUUUAAUUUAUUUUAUGUGUUAAACAACAUUCUACGUUGACAUUUAAGUAUGAAUAUAUAACUUAAACACUAACCUAAAAAUUAACUUAAUUGAGUUAGAAAUAUUAUUCAUUAUUAAAUUUUAAAAAUAAAAUUAUAUCAAAAUUUGAAACUUAAAAAAUUCCAAUUUCCAAACUAAAAUUAUAUUUACUUAUAUAUAUAUAUAUAUAUAUAUAUAUAUAUAGAGAGAGAGAGAGAGAGAGAGAGAGAGAGAGAGAGAAGACACAUUUUUUAGUAAUUUUUUUUAAUUCUAUCCUUUGAAUUACUAUUUUCUAAAAUUAAAUAAUACUUUAUAAUAAAAAAUAUUUUUCAGUUUUAUAGUUUAGUAAUUAUAUUUUUAAAUUCAAAUAAUUAUUCAUUGUAAAACAAUUGUUUACUGUUUUAUCAACAAUUUUUUUAAUAUUUAAAUAAUUAUUCGUAAUAAAAAUAUUAUUUAUAAUACUUUUUAUUGUAAUAAUUAAAAUUUAUUUUAUCUAUAGUUAUUUCAAUUUUACUAUAGCUUUACAUGAACCUUUUGAUAAAAAAAAAUUAAAAUAUCUGACCAUUUAAGUGAUAUAAAUUUGUAGAAACUCUUUCACUUUUCUAUUUUUUUAUUUAUUUUUAACUACACACAAACGAACUUUGAUUUAUUUUAAAAAAAAAAUCAUUUAUAAACAUUUACUCAAUCCAAUCAAAGGUAAAUGUUUCUACAUAUUUUAAUAUGUUUUUCUUUUAUUUUUCAGUAAAAAUUUACUCUAUUAACAAAAUUUUCUUUCCAUAAAUAAUUUUAUAACUUUACAAGUAAUAUUCAUUUAAUAUUUGAUAUAUUUGCACGAAAUAUUUUUUUCUUCUUCUCAAAAUUGGGUAUUUAAUACCAAUAAUUGUACUGAGAAGAUACGUUUACGGUCUAUAUUAAUAGUAUUAUGAUUCUCCAUAGUUUUCUCUUAAAUAUCAUUCAUUUUCUUAAUGAUUGAAAAAAAAUUAAAUUUGUUGAAAGAUUAACGAUAUUGAGUAAGAAAAAAAAGUCUCUUUAACAACUUUUUUUUGACAACACGUGACAACUUAUGAUUAGUUCGUUUCAAGUAUUUUUUUAAAAUAAAUUCAAACAGAUGAAUGAAAUGAUGACACGUGUCCUGUUGUAAAAAAAUUGUCAAAAAAGUGUUGUUAAAAUAUCAUUGUCCAUUGAGUAAUAAGUAAUAAUUUGUUUGUGAGCAUUUGACACGUAAAGCUCUCACGGAGAGACAGCGUAUGAUUCUUUUCCAUAGUUGCUUAUUAUUAUUGUUUAGAACAUAAACUAAGAUAACAUUAGAAUUUUGUUCAUUUCGAACAGAAUCAAUGACAGCAUAAUUUAGCAUCGUUUUCUGUCAAUUUGGUUUUGUUCCUGUGGUUAGAACUUGGGAGUGGUGGCUGCAUUCCAUUUUUCUCCCUUUUGAAGAAAAGGUACUCUUUCUUCUUUGGAUUGUGGUGUUAGUGUUUGAUGAAAUGCUUGACAAGAUUUGCAUGUGAAACAGAUGGCACUGACUUUGAAAGAGGAGGAUGCAGCUGAUUGGGUUUACAGAGGAGAAGGAGCUGUUAAUCUUGUGCUCGCUUACGCUGGAUCCUCUCCUUCUUUUGUGUGUUCUUUCUUUCUUAUGCUUCUAGUAACUGAAUUGUUUGAUUUGAUGAGUCCCAAACAAAUUUUAAUUUGAAUUUUUGUGUGUGUAGAUUGGGAAAGUGAUCCGCUUACGUAAGGCUCCGAAUAAUGGAUUGGAGUCAAAUGGUGUGAGUGUGAGGAAUAGCAUAGCUUUGACUCCUCAAGAACGUAUCCUCUGGAAAAAUGUGGAUCAACUUAUUUCCUCUUCUGACAAGGAAAUCGUUGGUCAACUAUAUGUGGAGCAUGUCAUGAAGCCCUUACUUGGUUCCAACUAUGUUGAUGCUGGGGUAUGUAUGCCAGCCAGUGACUGUUGCAUUGUCUCUCUUUCAGACUUUUUGUCAGAAACCCCUAAUUGAAAGUUGUUUUAUUGACUGAAAGAGUGUUAAUUUUUAUCAUCAUGUGUUGGAGAUCAUUCCUUGACUAGUAAUGUGACCACAUUAGUAUUUAAAAGUGGGAGACAAUUUUCACUUAAUGAACUAGCUUUUGAGACAGACUUAGGUCUAAAUCCUGGCUGUAACUAGGAAAGUGUGAACCAUGGAAAAAAAUCAAUUUUCAUCAUUAUCAUGUUUUCUAACCUACGGUUUCCAAAUCAGGUACUGCCUUACGCACUAUUUUAAGAUAGUUAUUGCCAGUCUCCAUUCUGAUAAUUUUUGUUAAAGAUGAAAAUGGGUUUAUUAAAUUGAUUUGAUUUCUGGGAUGAAGUGGCUAAGAUGUUCAGUGAUAACUUUUUGGCAAGUAUACCAAAUCGUUACAAGUAAUAUAGUGAUAAAUAAAGUAUCGUUUUCCCAAGGGACUUGUGCAACACCUGACAAUUCUUCCUUUUAUAACUCAAUUAGACAUCAAAAUACACAAAACAAUACAAGAAACACAUUUGGUGUGCCAGGAAUUGGUCUUUGACUAACAUUACAGUAACAUCCUGGAUAAAAUACUUUCUCUGUUCAAGCAUUCACAUAAGCGUAUCUUGAUUUAAUUUCUUAAAGCAAGUUCUAAAAUUAUCUAUUAAAUUACUAAUUCCUUAAUUAAUUCAACAGAUAAUUUUGCAUUAAAAUAAGAUGUUUAGAAUGACCAAAAGUACAGAAGUUAUUUCUAGCAUAGUUCCUUUUAGUUUCUUUUCUUACGUUUCUGGUUCUAAAAAUACUUCCCACUACAAAAUAACCUUUAAAAAGAAUUAUACUUCCGUAUAAUCUAAAGCAAGUCAAGAAAAGAACAAAAACAGCUAGACAUAUAAAACGUACUCUUUACAGCAAUUCCUUGCAGAAAGUGAAGUCUUGAUGUCUUGAAGGGUCUCCUGACGGUCUUCUCCAGUUCACCAGAGCAUUUUUCUAUUUUUUUCGUAUGUCAGAAGAUAGUUUCUGCCUCUCUGUCACGUUUCUUACGAGCUAGUUAAUUUUCAUUAAACUUCAUAAUUCGCUCAGCGCACAGAUGUGUGUUCGCUAUGCGAAUUUCAUUUUCUGGUUGCACUUCAACUGCUGUCAUUCGCUUAGCGCACAAAGUCUGGUGCGCUAUGCGAAUUUUCAAUUUGCACUCUUUUAACUUGUGAUAUUCGCUNAGCGCACAAAUACUGGUGCGCUGUGCGAAUUUCUUCUGUUNGCUCUNCGAAUUUUUGCUUCCACUCUNCGAGAAUUGGUUGACAACUUCCNAUUUAUACAACUUUUCCUGAACAAUAAUUUACGAAACAAUCUACUUCCUAUUACAACUUUUCACUGAGUAAUAACAUGAAUAAUUAUAAAAUUGAGAUCAUUUAUAAGUGUAAAAAUAACUCAUUUUCACGCUGAUAGAAAUUUGUUGAUUGUGUUUGUGAUCCUUGACCUAUUACUCUUUGGUAUUUAUUAGAUGCACAUCCUGGUGACCAGGGAAUUCCUUGAGUUGGUUGAGAAAAUGUUAUUGGUCAACGUCCUGUGUGGCGAGUUGAUGCUGCGCGGGUUGAUACAGAGUGUGAUUUUGGCCUUUUCAUGUCCGAUCAUUCACUUUUUGCUCAUGGUAAUGAUAUGCGAUCUUGCUUCUACCUGUUGGCAUUUUUCUCUUUUCCCUUUUAAAUUAAAUAUCAAAUAUGUAGUAGCACUAUUUCAUACAUAUCUGAGAUAUAUUUUAAGAAAGUAGUAGUAUGUUUAACUUAAUCUCACAAACCAUAAAUUUAAAUCUGCAUUUUUAUAACUAUUUUAUUUUUAUAUUAUAUGUUAAAUGAAUAUAAAAAUAUAUUAUAGUAACAUUACUCUUUAAAAUAUAUUAAUUUUUUUUAAAAAAUAUUAAUAAUACUAAAAAAGAUAAAACAAAAAAAAAUCUGGACUUGUUUUUUUUUUUAAAUGAGAUCCACCAGUUACAAUAUUUGAUGUGUUCCAAGUUUUUCAACCUUGUUAUAGCUUGACAAGGGAAACGACCAGAUUGAUGGACUUGGUGUCAUUGUUGGACAAAUGUUCUUCCACAUGUUGUGCAAACCUUCGAAAAAGCUCAUCCAUAAUGUGAGGUCCGAAAUGAGAUUCAAACAUGGACUCAAGUACAGCCCUUGCAGUUCUUGAAACUUUCUCUCCUCUCGAAUCACUCUGCAAUUCCAUUCCUCCAUCCCACUCUAUUUCAUAAGCAUCGUGUUCUUCUACCAUGAAUGACCCUUCCUUUUCAAUCACCUUUUUCACUUCUUCCAUGCAUGGCGCGUAGUACGGGGCAUCAAAACAAUCCACCUUUUUCUCUUCUAACAGACCCUACAUACACACCCCCAGAACAUUUUUCUCAUAUAUAUCACAUUACCAAUAAUAUAUAUAUGUAAAAUUUUUGGACUUUAGCAUACCUGAGAAACCAUGCUCAUAAGGGAGCGUGCUAAGAGUUCCCACUGAUAGCAACUGUGGUCGGAAGUUGGGUCGAUGGUUGUUCUUCCCAUGAAAGACAAGACCAUGCGUCCCCCAGUUACCAUUUCAUGCGAACGACAAGCAAUAAACGAUGAAAAAUCGUUCUUGAAUUGCUGAGAAUAAGCAUCCAGCACGCACUGAGGACUGCUCUUUGAUAUGUAGAUCUUUCCCUUGUUCAAUGCUCUUCCACUUCCGUCUUCUAAUCCAACAGGAGCCUUGCACCCCAACAACAACAACAAUCUGUCAAAACAUAUGUCCUACUUUCUUCUUUCUAUAUAAUCACAUCAAAAAAGUUCUUCACUCUCACAUUCAUUCCUUUUUUCUUUUUUUUGGCGUUGUUCCUUAAUUCUUCAGUAUAUGCCUCUUCACAAUGUUCCAAAAACGUGGAUACAAUCAAAGUUCAAACCCCAUCUCUCUUUGUCCUUAGUUUUAUCAGAUAACUACUUUUACAACAGAGAAAUUCGGUCUACACAAUUUGAACAAAGACAACUGAUAACCAAACAAUGGAUUAUCUUUAUUGUUUAAUUCAAAAACAUUUCCAUUCAAUUACAAAUCAUUAUACAUAGUAGAUUAUUACUUUUUAUAUCAGUUACUUUAAAAUAUAUAUAUAUAUAUAUAUAUAUAUAUAUAUAUAUAUAUAUAUAUAUAUAUAUAUAUAUAUAUAUAAAACAAUUUUUAAUUAAUUCACAAUAUAUUUUUUUAUAUGAACUAAUUAGCAUUCUAUAUAUGUAUAAAAGUUAAACUGAAAUGUCUUUUAUAAAAGACAAAAAAUUUUUCUUGAGGACAAUGCUGUUUUAGUUUAAUAUAACAGUCAAAAUAUAACCCAAAUAGUUAAGUGAAGUAGGUUUAAUCAGUUAGUUGAUUGAUGCAUCUGUGUUCUUUUCUCUGCUGUUUAAUUAACUUCUGCUCAAAUACUUAGUAAUGUAUGGUGUGUGUGUGUACAUAUAUAUACCUGAGAAAGCCAAUGGAGGCUGGAAGAAGAGUGCACAAAGUGGAGGGUCUUGGCAGGGAAAAGCCUUCCAUAGAAGGUGCCAGGGACAGCUGUAACAAAACAGGAUCCAAACCCACUUCCCUUUUCUUGCCUUUGUUUUCUGUAGAAAGAUGGCAAUGAAGCAAAGAUGUUGUUGAAGUCAUUGGCGAAGAGGUCGUUCAAAUACACCACCAACUCCGGCGGCGGCCGCUCCAACAGACGCGUGGUGGCGUAGACGCCAUCCACGAUCUCAGAAAUCACCCUCAAGGCAUUAGGGCCGGAGGAACAACCCAUAUCAGCAAUGCCCAUCUUCUCAGGCCAACUCGUGCACAGAAUUUGAACAAUGGCUUUUUUCCUCCAUGCCUCUGCACAAGAGAUAAUUGUGUU